AUCUAUUUGACAGACCUAGAGCAGUUAAUGUAUGCUUCUAAGGUUUCCACUACAGACACAAGAAAAAAAGAUCCUCAUACCUUCUGUCUUGAUUGUUGAUAGUCAAGAUUCAAUGGGGAAAUACAGGA
rnacentral:snoRNA from 1 species